GCUACGGGGGGCAGCUGUGAGGAAUAUUGGUCAAUGGACGAGAGUCUGAACCAGCCAAGUAGCGUGAAGGAUGACUGCCCUAUGGGUUGUAAACUUCUUUUAUAUGGGAAUAAAACGUUCCACGUGUGGGAUUUUGUAUGUACCAUAUGAAUAAGGAUCGGCCAACUCCGUGCCAGCAGCCGCGGUAAUACGGAGGAUCCGAGCGUUAUCCGGAUUUAUUGGGGUUAAAAGGAACGUAGGUUGAUUGUUAAGUCAGUUGUGAUAGUUUGCGGCUCAACCGUAAAAUUGCAGGUGAAACUGGCAGUCUUGAGUACAGUAGAGGUGGGCGGAAUGCG
rnacentral:rRNA from 1 species